rnacentral:rRNA from 1 species
UACAGGGGGUGCAAACGUUGCUCGGAAUUAUUGGGCGUAAAGCGCGCGUAGGCGGCUACUUAAGUCGGAUGUGAAAGCCCCGGGCUCAACCUGGGAAUUGCAUUCGAGACUGAAUAGCUAGGGUACGGUAGAGGGAAGUGGAAUUUCCGGUGUAGCGGUGAAAUGCGUAGAGAUCGGAAAGAACACCAACGGCGAAAGCACUCUGCUGGGCCGACACUGACACUGAGAGACGAAAGCUAGGGGAGCGAAUGGG